UACGAGGGUGCGAGCGUUGUCCGGAAUCACUGGGCGUAAAGGGCGCGUAGGCGGCCUGAUAAGUCGGGGGUGAAAUUCUGCGGCUUAACCGCAGGACGGCCUUCGAGACUGUCGGGCUUGAGCACGGUAGAGGCUGGUGGAAUUCCCGGUGUAGCGGUGGAAUGCGUAGAGAUCGGGAAGAACAUCGGUGGCGAAGGCGGCCAGCUGGCCGUUGCUGACGCUGAGCGCGACGCGUGGG
rnacentral:rRNA from 1 species